UACGGUGUAAACCGUCUCUAACGUGACAAACCUGAUCUGCCUCUCAGAAGCCUUUGGAAAGAAAGCUGCGAGGGAUUUUUAGCUCACCUUGUGUUGACAACCGUGAUAAACGUCACAUGCGUUGAGUAAAUUUAAAUGCACGUUUGCAAUGGUCUAGUGUGGAGACAUACCAGAAAUCAUAAAAAGACCUGAAUGAACCUAUGGACCCAUUUAUCAGCCCCCAGAGCUGUGUGGCAACUCUUGAUAUGCUCCAGAUCUUCAUCUGCCGCAUUACUGGUGUCCAUGUUGGUGAGAACCCUGUAAUAGCAAUGUGCAAGUCUCAACAACAUCCCAGAUCAGCAGCAAACCUGCCAAAGCAGCAAGCCAGCCCAGGACUUGAAGACUGUCAAGUACGUGAGGUCUCAGGAUCUGAUGAGGAAGCCUGUGGCUGCUUCACAUAAGGGCCAGAACACAGUGCCACCACAGAAGAGCAUGAGGGGAGUCUCUGACACCUACAGUUUCCUCCUCUGAAUCCAGUACCUUCUAUGGACACUGCCUGUUAACCUUAGCCAGAAGCACUGAGUCCACAAGGAGCAUCUUGUGCUGCUCUUGUACCCAGAGGCCAGACUGCCAAGAACCAGAACAAACAGCACUGGUGUUUCUUGCUGCCUACUACAGAUGAGACUUACCACUACUCACUUUUCUGCUGUAACAUCUUGUGAGACUUGGAAGUGAGCAGAAAGGCUUGGGAUUACCCACCAUCUAGCUAACAGAACAGCAGCAAUGUUAAGAGGAUACCAUUAGGCUGUGUCCCUUGUCCUCCUGCAGCAUCCAACCACUCUUCUUUACAACAUGAGUGAUACACACGAAUUCUGCACUGCACUUCAGCUUCUUUCCCCCAGCUUCACUAAACUUCCAAAUGGCUGGAGACUUUUGUGUGCUUGUUUAUCAGAACUCGGGCUCAUUGC